UACGUAGGUGGCAAGCGUUGUCCGGAAUCACUGGGCGUAAAGGGCGCGUAGGUGGCCACCAUAAGGCCGCGGUGAAAGUCUGGGGCUCAACCCCAGAUCGGCCGCGGCGACUGUGGGGCUCGGGUACUGUAGAGGCAGGUGGAAUUCCGGGUGUAGCGGUGGAAUGCGUAGAGAUCCGGAAGAACACCAGUGGCGAAGGCGGCCUGCUGGGCAGUGGGACCGAAAGGUCUCUUCAACCGACACUGAGGCGCGACAGCGUGGGGAGCAAACAGG
rnacentral:rRNA from 1 species